UUUUUUUUUUUUUUUUUUUGUAUUUUCAGUAGAGACAGGGUUUCACCACAUUGGACAGGCUGGUCUUGAACUCCUCACCUCAAGUGAUCCACCAUCCUCAGCUUCCCAAAGUGCUGGGAUUGUAAGUAUGAGCCACCACGCCCAGCACAAAGUUUUGUUUCUUAUAUAAUUUGCCCAGAGUAGGUGGGCUGUAGCCCUACCCCACUGCCUUCAAACUGGAGCCCAGCUGCCAGCAGCAUCCCCUGGAACAGCAGAAUGACCAAGGCAGACAGAAGGAGUGUGAUAUGGUUUGUUUGACUUUGUGUCCCCACCCAAAUCUCAUCUCAAAUUGUAAUCUUCACGUGUUGAAGGAGGGACCUGUAAUCCCCACGUGUCGAGGGAGGGAGGUGAUUGGAUCAUGAGGGUAGUUUCUCCCAUGCUGUUCUUGUGAUAGUAAGAGAGUUCUCAUGAGAUCUGACGGCUUUAUAAGCAUCUGUCAUUUCCCCUGCUUGCUCUUCUCUCUCCUGCCACCCAGUGAAGAAGCUACUUGCUUCUCCUUUGCCUUCCGCCAUGAUUGUAAGUUUCCUGAGGCCUCUCUGGCCAUGUGGAACUGUGAGUCAAUUAAACCUCUUUCCUUCACAAAUUACCCAGUCUCUGGUAUUUCUUUAUAGCAAUGUGAAAAUGAACUGAUGCAACAUGCAUGACCAAGCACAAGCUGAUGCUCAAAGCUGCUGCUGGAAGUGACAUUUCCACUCACGUGUCAUCGGCCACAGCAAAUCACAUGGCCACACUCCAGCAUAAUAGCACAGGGAAGGAUCAUCUCCCCUCAGGAAGAAAGAGGUCUCAAAUACUGUGAACAGUUCUACACCAUCUGCAGUGCACAUCUGUCUCCAGAGGCUUUAAUGCUACACCAGCCACUCACUGUCUCCACCACCCUCUUCUCUCAUAGCAGGGUCAGAUUUCACACAAAUAUAAGAUGUGCUUGUCUGAUGGAUAUUUUAAGGCACUGGUGGAGUUCUUUGCCUAUCACCCAGAGAUUACUGAGUCAUGCAGGGAUUAGA
rnacentral:lncRNA from 1 species